UGCCCUCGGGAUGAGAACAAUCUCGGGAAACUGAGGCUAAUUCUCUAUAUGUCAAGAUUCCUGGAAUGGGUUUUGGCUUAAAUGGCGUAACAGCAUCUUGUUAUUUUCGCCCGAGGAUGGGACUGCGGCCGAUCAGGCUGUUGGUGGGGUAAAGGCCCACCAAACCAGUAACCGGUACGGGCUUUGAGAGAAGGAGCCCGGAGAUGGACACUGAGACAAGGGUCCAGGUCCUACGGGGCGCAGCAGGCGCGAAACCUUCGCAAUGUGCGAAAGCACGACGAGGUUAUUCCGAGUGAUUUCCGCUGAGGAAAUCUUUUCUCAGAUCUAAAAUGUCUGGGGAAUAAGGGGAGGGCAAGUCUGGUGUCAGCCGCCGCGGUAAUACCAGCUCCUCGAGUGGUCAGGGCGUUUAUUGGGCCUAAAGCAUCCGUAGCCGGCUCAGUUGGUCUCCUGUUAAAUCCAACGGCUCAACCGUUGGUCUGCAGGAGAUACCGCUGGGCUAGGAGGCGGGAGAGGCGGACGGUACUCCGAGGGUAGGGGUAAAAUCCUUUGAUCCCCGGAAGACCACCAGUGGCGAAAGGCGGUCCGCCAGAACGCGCUCGACGGUGAGGGAUGAAAGCUGGGGGAGCGAACCGGAUUAGAUACCCGGGUAGUCCCAGCCGUAAACGAUGCGAGCUAGGUGACACGACGCCUUCGGGGCGUCGUGGUGCCGCAGGGAAGCCGUUAAGCUCGCCGCCUGGGGAGUACGGACGCAAGUCU
rnacentral:rRNA from 1 species